rnacentral:misc_RNA from 1 species
AACCUUAUGGACCUGCGGGCGUAUACCUGCGGAAGGAUCAUUACCGAGUUUACAACUCCCAAACCCCUGUGAACAUACCUAUACGUUGCCUCGGCGGAUCAGCCCGCGCCCUGUAAAAAGGGACGGCCCGCCCGAGGACCCUAAACUCUGUUUUUAGUGGAACUUCUGAGUAAAACAAACAAAUAAAUCAAAACUUUCAGCAAUGGAUCU